AGCGAACGCUGGCGGCAGGCCUAACACAUGCAAGUCGAACGAACCUUUCGGGGUUAGUGGCGGACGGGUGAGUAACACGUGGGAACGUGCCUUUAGGUUCGGAAUAACUCAGGGAAACUUGUGCUAAUACCGAAUGUGCCCUUCGGGGGAAAGAUUAAUCGCCUUUAGAGCGGCCCGCGUCUGAUUAGCUAGUUGGUUGAGGUAAUGGCUCACCAAGGCGACGAUCAGUAGCUGGUCUGAGAGGAUGAUCAGCCACAUUGGGACUGAGACACGGCCCAAACUCCUACGGGAGGCAGCAGUGGGGAAUCUUGCGCAAUGGGCGAAAGCCUGACGCAGCCAUGCCGCGUGAAUGAUGAAGGUCUUAGGAUUGUAAAAUUCUUUCACCGGGGACGAUAAUGACGGUACCCGGAGAAGAAGCCCCAGCUAACUUCGUG
rnacentral:rRNA from 1 species